rnacentral:rRNA from 1 species
UACGUAGGGGCCUAGCGUUGUCCGGAUUUAUUGGGCGUAAAGAGCUCGUAGGCGGCUUGUCGCGUCGGCUGUGAAAACCCGCGGCUCAACUGUGGGCGGGCAGCUGAUACGGGCAGGCUGGAGUUCGGUAGGGGAGACUGGAAUUCCUGGUGUAGCGGUGAAAUGCGCAGAUAUCAGGAGGAACACCAAUGGCGAAGGCAGCUCGCUGGGACGUGACUGACGCUGAGGCACGAAAGCGUGGGGAGCAAACAGG